CGGUUAGGAAAUGCGUACAUACUUGUAUAUUGAAGGAAUUAAUUGACACUAUAACAGAAUUAGAUUAUAGGGACACAUAUUUGAAAUACUUUUGAGUAAGUAUCUUAUUUAUGCUAAAACUUAAAAACACAUUUACUAAUGCCUAAAUACAAAGCCCAAUCUAACCAAAAAUAAAAGAUUACUCUACUCAACUUACUACAUCCAGUCCAUUUGGCCCGAUUACAAACAGAAAAGAAAAAAAAAAAAGAAAAAUUAAUUACCUUAUUUUCUUCUUUCUUCACUCAAUCCACUGAAAUUCUAGACGAAGAGUCUUUACUGUCGUCUUCCUUCGCCACCGCAGCCAACGAGAUAGAGUUUCAGCGGUUGCUAAAUACUUAAAUAAGUGUUGGUAAAUUAGCAGCACUUUUUUAGGUUAUAGCGACACUUUUUAACUGUCACUAUAUACCUAGCGACCCCACAUAUAGCAACACUUUUUAAAAGUGUCGGUAAUUUUAACUAGCAGCACUUUUUUGACAUGUAUCUAUAUUUAAAAAUAUCGCUAUAGACCGUUUUUGUUGUAGUGUGAUUAGUUGAAAUACUUUUCCUUCUUUGUCAUCGCGCCUAUUAUUUAGCGUAAAU
rnacentral:lncRNA from 1 species